GCAGCAGGAAGUGUGUCAUUUUCAAAAUGCUUUGAAUUCAGCAUCUUAUUUUUACUCGAUUUGCUUCAAACUUCAUCAGAAUAAUGAUAAAACACGGCCGAUGUAAAUCUGUUGUGGGGAUAUUGAUAUCUAACAUAGUGUUGCCAUGGCAACGCUUCAAACUUGAAUAUUCUUUUCUGGGGAUUUUGAGGCAGAUAACAUGCUCAGAAUUACAUAAAACUCAAAACACAUAUCAGUCCUAAUGAUAUAUAGACAAUGGAAAAAGCUCAUGAAGGGGCGUGGAGGAGCCACUCUAUAGUGCCACCUUUUGUCAAAAGUGAGGGGGUUAUUUUUAGCUACAGACACCAAACUUGGUAUAUAUAUUGUUCUUAUCAAGACGGACAACUUUCUAAUUUACAGUCAUCAGCUGCGACCUACAGGAAGUCGGCUAUUUUGGUUUAAAUGUGGAUUUUUGGAAAAAUAUGGCUGUGAAUUAAUGCAUACUCCACAGAGGAGAAUUACACUAUACACACCAAACUUUGUCUACAUGAUGCCAAUAUACUGAAGAUGUUAAAUUGCGAACGGGUUUAGGAUACCUUGAACGGUAUGGCCACAGCGAUUUAUUAAAGUAACAUUAAAAAAUGCAACAGUUAUUUUCCUAUAUCUUUUGAAUUCUUUAUUCUAACCCUUCAUAAUUUUUUACAUAUUAGAAGUCAUUCUUAGAAAACACAGUAAUUUUCAUAAAUUUAUCAU
ensembl:lncRNA